UAGCACACAGCCCUGCCACCUGACCUGGCCGAACUUCACACACUCCCUGUGGCUGAUUUUAAAUGUUUUUUUCUUUUAAAUGUUUUACUCUUUAAUCAUACUAAUAACAGCAGUACAGCUGACAUGAUUUAGAGAUCACUGAAUGGUUUUUCUUUCUUCCAGAGAACUCAUGUGGUGCUCCAUCCUCAAGCUCCUGUGAAGCUGUUACCAUGGCAAUGAAUACUAACACCUCGUUGAAAUAUGAGGACAUCAUUUCCAAAAGUGUUCUGAUCCAAUCAGGAUCUCCUGCUGUCUACCAGCUGAAACUGAAGAAAGAGAACAUUGGAUCUCUAAGAAAAGUUACUCUUGGUGAAAAGAAUCCAAACAAGA